AGAGUUUGAUCCUGGCUCAGAACGAACGCUGGCGGCGUGCUUAACACAUGCAAGUCGAGUGCGCGCCUGUAGCAAUACAGGUGGCGCACGGCGCACGGGUGCGUAACACGUGGGUAAUCUGCCCUCUGAUGGGGAAUAACUCGCCGAAAGGCGAGCUAAUUCCGCAUAAUAUUCCGAGAACUUUGGUUUUUGGACUGAAAGGUGUAAGUCGUCGGAGGAGGAGCCCGCGCACGAUUAGCUAGUUGGUAGGGUAAUGGCCUACCAAGGCUUUGAUCGUUAGCUGGUCUGAGAGGAUGGCCAGCCACACUGGAACUGAGACACGGUCCAGACUCCUACGGGAGGCAGCAGUGGGGAAUCUUGCACAAUGGGCGAAAGCCUGAUGCAGCGACGCCGCGUGGGGGAUGAAGCUUCUCGGAGUGUAAACCCCUUUCGAUCCGGACGAAACCCCGCAAGGGAUUGACGGUACGGAUAUAAGAAGCCCCGGCUAACUACGUGCCAGCAGCCGCGGUAAUACGUAGGGGGCCAGCGUUGUUCGGAAUUACUGGGUGUAAAGGGUUCGUAGGCGGUGCGGCAAGUUGGGAGUGAAAUCUCUGGGCUUAACCCAGAGACGGCUUCCAAAACUGCUGUGCUUGAGUGUGGGAGAGGCUCGUGGAAUUGCAGGUGUAGCGGUGAAAUGCGUAGAUAUCUGCAGGAACACCCGUGGCGAAAGCGGCGAGCUGGACCACUACUGACGCUGAAGAACGAAAGCUAGGGGAGCAAACAGGAUUAGAUACCCUAGUAGUCC
rnacentral:rRNA from 1 species